rnacentral:rRNA from 1 species
GACGAACGCUGGCGGCGUGCUUAACACAUGCAAGUCGAACGGUAAGGCCCUUCGGGGUAUACGAGUGGCGAACGGGUGAGUAACACGUGGGUGAUCUGCCCUGCACCUCGGGAUAAGCCUGGGAAACUGGGUCUAAUACCGGAUAGGACCACUGCCUGCAUGGGUGGUGGUGGAAAGCUUUUGCGGUGUGGGAUGGGCCCGCGGCCUAUCAGCUUGUUGGUGGGGUGAUGGCCUACCAAGGCGACGACGGGUAGCCGGCCUGAGAGGGUGACCGGCCACACUGGGACUGAGAUACGGCCCAGACUCCUACGGGAGGCAGCAGUGGGGAAUAUUGCACAAUGGGCGCAAGCCUGAUGCAGCGACGCCGCGUGAGGGAUGACGGCCUUCGGGUUGUAAACCUCUUUCAGCACCGACGAAGCGCAAGUGACGGUAGGUGCAGAAGAAGGACCGGCCAACUACGUGCCAGCAGCCGCAGUAA